AUUGAUGUUUGGAAGCCCACGUAUGAACCUAUUCGGCCAAUGAUCUAGGCCUAUCACUCUCUUGGAUAGACAUUAUUAUCUAAGUUUGCUACAACUUAUGGAGAAAGUUUCUGGACAUCCCAAAUCUGAGGAUCAUUCGGAAGAGUAAGCGGCUGGUUAACUGCGUCUUUACUGCUGCUGCCAUUACGCAUGAAACGUUCAACAAGACCAUUAGCCUGUGGCCACAGGGGAGUGAUUUUUUGAUGUCGAAUUCCAAAAUGUUUCAUGAAUUUGCUGAAAUCAUCACCUUGAAAUGGCGGACCAUUAUCAGUCUUUAUUGUUCCUGGAAUUCCAUAAGUAGUAAAUAUUCUAUCCAACGCUGGUAAGACAGAUGUGGCAGACGUUGAAGAUAUUAUUUCAAGAACAGGAUAUCUUGAAUAUUCAUCCACAGCCACUAGUACAUAUUUACCAUUGUAUAAUAGUCCAUAGAAAUCAACAUCGACAUUUUCCCAGACAUUGUCAGGUAGAUUAGUCAUCCGCAAUGGUUCACUGCUAGUUUGCGUAGAAAGAAGGGUGCAUGUCAUACAGUUACGGAUUUCCGAUUCAACAAGUUGCUCCAUGGAGGGAAACAAUACCUUUUCACGUAAAAGUUGUUUGGUCUUUACGAUUCCUAAAUGACUGGCAUGGGCAAUAUCAAUUACCCUUUUUCUCAAAACAGCUGGAGUAACAAUUUUGUCACCUCUGAGAAUUAUUGAAUCAUCAUGUACAGUAAGUUCUUGACAAUGUUUAUGAAGUGUUCGGAAUUCUUGUUCCUCAUCAGUUGAAAAUAAAAACUGUGCCAGUCGCCAAUCAUUGGAAAUAAUGCAGUGUUUUACUGCUGACAAAACUUUAUCUGAGGAAGAAGCCUCUUUGAUGUUGGCACUAGUAAGUGAAUCAGGAAUUGAAUUGUUAAUAAUAAAGUUCACAUAUUCCUCCACUGAAGUAGACUGCGAUAUGUCAGAAGGCAGAGGAUGUCUGGACAUGUAA